ACGAGCAAACGGACACUUUAGCAACACGCGACGACCGACGCACGUGCGUCAAGGUGCUCUUAGACCCAGUCUAUGCGCACGGAACGUUUAGUGAUCACCGUCAACUAGCCGUCGCGUAUACGCAUAAUAUAUUCUUUGGCCGACCAAUAGGUUAAGGAACAACACUGUGGGAUUUUCCCUCCCACUGAGUUCUAUUGUGACUACCGUAUGAAUACGCAUCUAUAAUCCGGUUAUCGUAACCGUCCUAGUCUUGUAUGGAUAUUUUAUUUUGAUGAAGAACAAAUUACAUUUUAUUCAAAUAUGGACAUUGCACAGACAUAUAUAAACCGGUGUAGACACUGAGAAGAUUUUAUAGUGCACAUAGCAGCAUGCAGCUUGACAUCACAUCAUAACAUCGAUGGAUAUUGAUCUACUGGGGUAUAAGCGUUUAGCUAUACACAAAAAUGUUCCAUCCGGUAAGCACGAAAACGGGAUUUUCUUUUCAAGAGGGAGUGGAAUAAAAAAAAAAAAUAAAUAAAAAAAAUGUCAUUCCCUCGAAACGAAAUCAGAACCUUUUACAGUAAUAAAAAAAUGUUAAUACCAGUUUCCUACGUUUAAGAUGAAAAAAAAACCUUUUGUUUUACAUUUUAAAUGAUGAGUACCUGUUUCGUAUAUAUUUAAAUCAUAAAGGAUUACCCGUUUACGGGAAGGCGCGGAAAAAUUUCGAGUGGGGUCUGGACCCCAUGGACCACCCUUACUCCUUUGUUGCGUGCCUACUUUCCGGACCGAGUUCAAAGUGGCGUGUUCGGAAAACGCCACGUAUAUAAUAAUUGCUAGUCCGGAAAAACCGCGAGAACGGUAGUACCGCGAAACGUAUUACACCCGUUGUCGACAAUAAUAGAAUAUCGUGUGUACGGCGAACGCUGCGCGAAAAUUGUUAUUAUUAUGUUAUUGUGUCACGGGCGCGCGUGUAUGACUGUGUACGAUCGCGCACACGCGCCGGGACGCCCAGCCCCCUCGACCGCCGCCAGCGGAUUUCCCGACACGGGGCGGCGGGCUACAACGUCCGUGUUGCUGCCCGGGGUUUACUUUCCGCGUGCUCGGCAAAACCUAGUAGUAUUUUUAUUACGGUUUUGAAAUACCGUCGCCGUCAGCCGCCCGGCGGUAUUGGCAAAUCAAAAAGAAAAUUAUGUACGAUUCAAAUAGAAAAACACGCGUAUCAUAUGGUUCUGAUUUGUAUCCACGUUGAUUGCCGUGUGAUAACAAUAUAUUGUGUACGUUCGAGAGCCACAUAAUAUUAUCGCGCACGGACAAGUCUUUUGGGUUCCGUCGAACAACUAUAUAGAAAAUGUGUAGAAGCUGUGCUCCGGAGUGAACGAUUUUCGGUUUUCUAAGCGAUACCCGUUGAAGUGUAUGGACACGGAUGGGUUGAAAAAAAAAAACUGUGAUAAGCGUAUGAGUUUCUUUGUAUACAUGUUUUAUGUUUUUAGAUUUUGGGUAUUGAAUUACAACAAAAUUAUUUCUACCAAAACCAAUUUAAAAUGCUCCCAACAUACUC